CUCGGAAGGAAGCAGCCCCAAGCGCGCG
rnacentral:SRP_RNA from 13 species